CUCUGCCAUUUCAUUUCUUCUUCUCCCUUUCACCUUCCAGAAGAAUUCAGCGGUCUUCAAAGUAAAACACUCAUACGAUAUACAGGGGAUGAUCCGGAGCGACGUCAGCACCUAACAAUUUACUGAUCGGUGUUCGGCGGCAUCCAUCGGCGCAAACUCCUUUCCAGGUCUUUUUCUGGAUGCACAGUAUAGUCAGCUCCAGCAACUUUAGGAUGAAAUCAACCCCACUGUUGUAACCGAAAUUGUGGUUUUCUUCUUUGAUAGUUCUGAACAACUGCCGAAAUUGUGCAAACUGGUUUUAUAUUUCAAGAAAUUGGUGGUUCACAGAAGGUUUUUUUAUGCCAUAUACUUUGCCCUCCUUAAAAGUUAUUGGCACUGCAAAUGUUCACACCAAGCAAGUUUGAAUUGCUCCAUUCUGAAGGGCUCAAACGUGAGCUCCUUUCCUUUUGUUUGUUGUUUUCAGGCACUGCAAAGGUUCACACCAAGCAAGUUUGAAUUGCUCCAUUCUGAAGGGCUCAAACGUGAGCUAUGAAGCAGAAGCAGAGUUGUUAAUCAGCGGUGUGUUUGAGUGCCGCUAUGUAACUGUAUGUAUAUAUAUAUACCCAAAGAAGUAGCAUAGGUAAAAUCAAAUUAAUCAUCAUUCAUCACGCCCUGGCUGCUUUCGUGAA